CCCAAGCCAGGGGCAACCCUGGCGGAAGGUUAGCGGCGAACGGGUGAGUAACACGUGAGGAACGUGCCCCGGACUUCGGGAUAACGGCGGGAAACCGCUGCUAAUACCGGAUACGCUCCUGUCUCCGCAUGGAGGUGGGAGGAAAGGUCCGCCGGUCCGGGAUCGUCUCGCGGCCCAUCAGCUUGUUGGUGAGGUAACGGCUCACCAAGGCUUCGACGGGUAGCUGGCGUGAGAGCGCGACCAGCCACACUGGGACUGAGACACGGCCCAGACUCCUACGGGAGGCAGCAGUGGGGAAUCUUGCGCAAUGGGCGAAAGCCUGACGCAGCGACGCCGCGUGAGGGAUGAAGGCUCUCGGGUUGUAAACCUCUUUCAGCGGGGACGAAGCGAAAGUACGGUA
rnacentral:rRNA from 1 species